AGAGUUUGAUCCUGGCUCAGGAUGAACGCUAGCGACAGGCUUAACACAUGCAAGUCGAGGGGCAGCGGGGGAGUAGCAAUACUCCCGCCGGCGACCGGCGCACGGGUGAGUAACACGUAUGGAACCUGCCCGCAGCAGGGGGAUAAGCGGAAGAAAUUCCGUCUAAUACCGCGUAACAAUUCCCGGAGGCAUCUCCGGGAAUUUAAAGGAGGCAACUCCGGCUGCGGAUGGCCAUGCGGCGCAUUAGCUUGUUGGCGGGGUAACGGCCCACCAAGGCGACGAUGCGUAGGGGUUCUGAGAGGAAGGUCCCCCACACUGGUACUGAGACACGGACCAGACUCCUACGGGAGGCAGCAGUGAGGAAUAUUGGUCAAUGGCCGUAAGGCUGAACCAGCCAAGUCGCGUGAGGGAUGACGGUCCUAUGGAUUGUAAACCUCUUUUGUCGGGGAGCAAAGGACGCCACGUGUGGUGUUUUGCGAGUACCCGAAGAAAAAGCAUCGGCUAACUCCGUGCCAGCAGCCGCGGUAAUACGGAGGAUGCGAGCGUUAUCCGGAUUUAUUGGGUUUAAAGGGUGCGCAGGCGGAAUGUCAAGUCAGCGGUAAAAUUUCGGGGCUCAACCCCGUCGUGCCGUUGAAACUGGCGUUCUUGAGUGAGCGAGAAGUAUGCGGAAUGCGUGGUGUAGCGGUGAAAUGCAUAGAUAUCACGCAGAACUCCGAUUGCGAAGGCAGCAUACCGGCGCUCAACUGACGCUCAUGCACGAAAGCGUGGGUAUCGAACAGGAUUAGAUACCCUGGUAGUCCACGCAGUAAACGAU
rnacentral:rRNA from 1 species